rnacentral:rRNA from 1 species
GUGGGGAAUAUUGGACAAUGGGGGGAACCCUGAUCCAGCCAUGCCGCGUGUGUGAAGAAGGCCUUUUGGUUGUAAAGCACUUUAAGCGAGGAGGAGGCUACCGAGAUUAAUACUCUUGGAUAGUGGACGUUACUCGCAGAAUAAGCACCGGCUAACUCUGUGCCAGCAGCCGCGGUAAUACAGAGGGUGCAAGCGUUAAUCGGAUUUACUGGGCGUAAAGCGCGCGUAGGUGGCCAAUUAAGUCAAAUGUGAAAUCCCCGAGCUUAACUUGGGAAUUGCAUUCGAUACUGGUGGGCUAGAGUAUGGGAGAGGAUGGUAGAAUUCCAGGUGUAGCGGUGAAAUGCGUAGAGAUCUGGAGGAAUACCGAUGGCGAAGGCAGCCAUCUGGCCUAAUACUGACACUGAGGUGCGAAAGCAUGGGGAGCAAACAGGAUUAGAUACCCUUGUAGUCC